AUCCAGACUGUACCAUAUUGCCUUUCAUUAAAAUUUAAAGUAAAUACUGGUGAUUUACAAUCUCAUAUAUAAAGCCUUUUUUUUUUCUCCCAGAGAACUGUAUAUACUCUUCUAUCAAAUUUCACACCAUGUGAAAAAUCAAGUCUUUCAGUACAUUGAAAGCUCACAGUGCCAAUGGGUACAGCCGUGCUGCAGUCAGACUGCCUUGGACCCCACUGCAACCUGAAAGGGGCACCAAGGACUGACAUUUCAGUCUAAGAGGUGACACCUGUGACAGCAUUUUGGAACCUGGUUGUUCUGAUGAAGUGACUGUGUUCACCAAUACUGGACACAACCUGGAGCACAUAGAAACAAACAGUUGGCAGGAUACUCUUGUUGACUGAAGACUUAAGUGAAAGAUAUAACAAUGGGAGAAAAAGAAAGCUUCUACAUCAGGAAGCAUUAAGGUUGGUGGUGAAGCAUACAAAAGCUCAAAAAGGAACAAGUGCAUUCACCAAAGGACAAGAUACUUUUUAUUAUCAAUUCCGUUUUCUUCCACCAGUCACUGAAGCAGUGAGGCUUUCACCAUUAAUCCCCAUGUUCUCAAGUGAGAGUUGACCAGCCCCUGUAACAGAGGCUUUUCUGACUGAGCUGUUCUCAUCAUCACCAGUGCAUGCCCUUGAUUCAUGACAGUGAUAUUAUGGUGCUGUCAGGAAAUAAGAAUGUGCAAGAAUAUUGACAGCUAGAAAUACCACAUUGUGGAGACCUGUGGGGUUGAAAACAUAUCAGUUUCCUUAAACUGCAAAGAAACUUCCUAGAUGCAGAUAUAUCAGUUUCAUUUACAGGCCUUUUUUGGNNNNNNNNNNACUAGAUUUGUAUAAGCCUUUUCUACUCCGAGUAUUCAAACAUACCCCAAAGAAAUACUUUUUGAUUGCUUUUAAUGUCAGCUUUCAAAGAGCCAUUGAAAAGAUGCUUUUCUUCAGCAAGAAGAAGAAGAGUUGGUGACUAAACUAAAAAGUGAAUUUUUGUCCCACUGAUCCAUUAAACAGUCAGUGAAUUAAAAUACUUGAAAGAAAUAAAAAAAAACCCAAACCUGUGUGAGAAAUAAAA
rnacentral:lncRNA from 1 species